rnacentral:rRNA from 1 species
UACGAAGGGGGCUAGCGUUGUUCGGAAUCACUGGGCGUAAAGGGCGCGUAGGCGGCUUUAUAAGUCGGGGGUGAAAGCCUGUGGCUCAACCCCAGAAUUGCCUUCGAUACUGUAGAGCUUGAGACCGGAAGAGGUAAGUGGAACUGCGAGUGUAGAGGUGAAAUUCGUAGAUAUUCGCAAGAACACCAGUGGCGAAGGCGGCUUACUGGUCCGGAUCUGACGCUGAGGCGCGAAAGCGUGGGGAGCAAACAGG